CCACCAGUAACUAAUGAGCGUCACGCAUGCAUGGUAAAUUAAAGAUGAGCAUUAUUUUAGUAAUUAAAUAUUAUGCUGAUGUCAUACAUAUGUCAUUCAUACAUAAUAAAUCACCAUUAUCUAUUUAUUUCUCAAUUUAAGAUAAAUUCUCUUUCGAUGUUCCCUGACUAUGUAGACUGUCCAAUGAGUCUAUAUAUCUCUACUUGUAGAAUCUUUGUUUUAGUUCUAUUUUGACCCAUUCAAAUUGCGUUGGAUUCGUUUUAAUGAACUCUACAUGUUAGUAAU
rnacentral:lncRNA from 1 species